rnacentral:rRNA from 1 species
GCUGGCGGCAGGCUAACCAUGCAAGUCGAGCCGGAUGAGAAGAGCUUGCUCUUCGAUUCAGCGGCGGACGGGUGAGUAAUGCCUAGGAAUCUGCCUGGUAGUGGGGGACAACGUUUCGAAAGGAACGCUAAUACCGCAUACGUCCUACGGGAGAAAGCAGGGGACCUUCGGGCCUUGCGCUAUCAGAUGAGCCUAGGUCGGAUUAGCUAGUUGGUGAGGUAAUGGCUCACCAAGGCGACGAUCCGUAACUGGUCUGAGAGGAUGAUCAGUCACACUGGAACUGAGACACGGUCCAGACGCCUACGGGAGGCAGCAGUGGGGAAUAUUGGACAAUGGCGAAAGCCUGAUCCAGCCAUGCCGCGUGUGUGAAGAAGGUCUUCGGAUUGUAAAGCACUUUAAGUUGGGAGGAAGGGCAUUAACCUAAUACGUUAGUGUUUUGACGUUACCGACAGAAAUAAGCACCGGGCUAACUCUGUGCCAGCAGCCGCGGUAAUACAGAGGGUGCAAGCGUUAAUCGGAAUACUGGGCGUAAACGCGCGUAGGUGGUUUGUUAAGUUGGAUGUGAAAGCCCCGGGCCUCCAACCUUGGGAACUGCAUCCAAAACUGG